rnacentral:rRNA from 1 species
AACGGGAAGAACCUUACCUACUUUUGACAUCCAGAGAAGCUAGCGGAGACGCAGGUGUGCCUUCGGGAGCUCUGAGACAGGUGCUGCAUGGCUGUCGUCAGCUCGUGUUGUGAAAUGUUGGGUUAAGUCCCGCAACGAGCGCAACCCUUAUCCUUGUUUGCCAGCGAGUAAUGUCGGGAACUCCAGGGAGACUGCCGGUGAUAAACCGGAGGAAGGUGGGGACGACGUCAAGUCAUCAUGGCCCUUACGAGUAGGGCUACACACGUGCUACAAUGGCGCAUACAGAGGGCAGCAAGCUAGCGAUAGUGAGCGAAUCCCAAAAAGUGCGUCGUAGUCCGGAUUGGAGUCUGCAACUCGACUCCAUGAAGUCGGAA